UCACAUAGUAACUGCUUUUCUGUCAUUGC
rnacentral:sRNA from 1 species